rnacentral:rRNA from 1 species
GACGAACGCUGGCGGCGUGCUUAACACAUGCAAGUCGAACGGAAAGGCCCUGCUUUGGUGGGGUGCUCGAGUGGCGAACGGGUGAGUAACACGUGAGUAACCUGCCCUUGACUUUGGGAUAACUUCAGUAAACUGGUGCUAAUACCGGUUAGGAGCUCCUGCUGCAUGGUGGGGGUUGGAAAGUUUCGGCGGUUGGGGAUGGACUCGCGGCUUAUCAGCUUGUUGGUGGGGUAGUGGCUUACCAAGGCUUUGACGGGUAGCCGGCCUGAGAGGGUGACCGGCCACAUUGGGACUGAGAUACGGCCCAGACUCCUACGGGAGGCAGCAGUGGGGAAUAUUGCACAAUGGGCGGAAGCCUGAUGCAGCAACGCCGCGUGCGGGAUGACGGCCUUCGGGUUGUAAACCGCUUUCGCCUGUGACGAAGCGUGAGUGACGGUAAUGGGUAGAGAAGCACCGGCUAACUACGUG